rnacentral:lncRNA from 1 species
CUCAGAGAAAGGUUUUAUGUCCCAAGUGUGCCUGGCAGGAGUGAGCCAGCAUGCCAGAGGGGCCGUGUGGAGAAAGACAGAGGGUGUCUCAGUAGCUGUCUGUGUGUGGACAGAUGCUUAAGGAUAAGAGAGAUCCCACUCCUUAAUCCCAAGGCACUCUCUGAGAACCCACUAAGGGACAGAAAAUCAUGAAUGGGACUGAGUUUAAGUUUCCCACUACUCAUGCGAGAAAGGCGGCUCUUACAACAAAAAAUAAAGUUUUAUAAUGUAAAGACUGUAGAUUUCUUGCUCACCUGAAUUUGUGGGCUGAGAUUCAUACCUGUAAAUAGAGUUAAAAAGAACAACCAGUGUGAUAUUGACAUGAUGGCUCAAGAGAUGGGGAUAAGAAGCAAAAGAAGGGAAGGAAAAAGAGCACUACUCAUACGAAGUGACAGGUGCUUGAACCAUUCUGUCCUGCUGCCUGGAACUAAGAACACCCUGAGUUGACUGUGUAGGAGACUGAAAGGACUAAGCACUUACUGCUUCAGUGUGCUUCCUUGAAGAACAGCUGGAAAGCAUCUAGAGCAGUGAGAUGACCAUAGCAGGAGACCAAUAUUGACUAAUAGACUGUGGGGCCACAUUCCAUUGUCCACCAUGCUGCAACAAGACCCAAUGGAAGUGCUUACUUGAGAUACUGGGUCUUUGCAGGCUUGAGUGUGGAAGUUUGUAAGGUUCUUGUUUUGGUUUAUGAAACACUCAUGAUUAUGAACAGUCCAGAGGAGUGAAGAGCCUGAAGAAGGAGAAACUGGACUUCUUGCUUAUAAGAAUCACAUCCUCAUCAGCCACUUGACAACAC